UACGAAGGGGGGCUAGCGUUGCUCGGAAUCACUGGGCGUAAAGCGCACGUAGGCGGAUCUUUAAGUCAGGGGUGAAAUCCUGGAGCUCAACUCCAGAACUGCCUUUGAUACUGAGGAUCUUGAGUUCGGGAGAGGUGAGUGGAACUGCGAGUGUAGAGGUGAAAUUCGUAGAUAUUCGCAAGAACACCAGUGGCGAAGGCGGCUCACUGGCCCGAUACUGACGCUGAGGCACGAAAGCGUGGGGAGCAAACAGGG
rnacentral:rRNA from 1 species